rnacentral:rRNA from 1 species
CACGUAGGGUGCGAGCGUUGUCCGGAAUUAUUGGGCGUAAAGAGCUCGUAGGCGGUCUGUCGCGUCGGCUGUGAAAACCUGGGGCUCAACUCCGGGCCUGCAGCCGAUACGGGCAGACUAGAAUUCGGUAGGGGAGACUGGAAUUCCUGGUGUAGCGGUGAAAUGCGCAGAUAUCAGGAGGAACACCGGUGGCGAAAGCGGCGCACUGGACCACAACUGACGCUGAGGCGCGAAAGCUAGGGGAGCAAACAGG